rnacentral:rRNA from 1 species
UGGGGAAUUGUUCGCAAUGGGCGCAAGCCUGACGACGCAACGCCGCGUGGAGGAUGAAGGUCUUCGGAUUGUAAACUCCUGUUGCCCGGGACGAAAUGCUUCGACCUAACACGUCGAAGUUUGACGGUACCGGGUGAGGAAGCCCCGGCUAACUCUGUGCCAGCAGCCGCGGUAAUACAGAGGGGGCAAGCGUUGUUCGGAAUUACUGGGCGUAAAGGGCGCGUAGGCGGCCUUCUAAGUCGAACGUGAAAUCCCCGGGCUCAACCCGGGAACUGCGUCCGAUACUGGAAGGCUUGAAUCCGGGAGAGGGAUGCGGAAUUCCAGGUGUAGCGGUGAAAUGCGUAGAUAUCUGGAGGAACACCGGUGGCGAAGGCGGCAUCCUGGACCGGCAUUGACGCUGAGGCGCGAAAGCCAGGGGAGCAAACGGGAUUAGAUACCCCGGUAGUCCUGGCCCUAAACGAUGAAUGCUUGGUGUGGCGGGUAUCGAUCCCUGCCGUGCCGAAGCUAACGCAUUAAGCAUUCCGCCUGGGGAGUACGGUCGCAAGGCUGA